rnacentral:lncRNA from 10 species
AGAAAACCCCUUCUGAUUCCUCAUACUGAGAGCCCUUCCAACUAAUUCAAGAUGCUUCGCUCUGAGGUUCUGAGCCUGUUCCUAAGGAGAACUAUUCUAUUGAAGCUUCACUUCGUUUCUUGCAGGAUGGAGCUUCCAGGAUAGAGCUUCUUUUCUUCCUCAUGGCCUUGACCACCUAGAAUGCCGCUAGAAUGGAGGCUCUGUGUAUCAAUUUACUUAGCCCUCCGAGAGCAUCAUCUGAGGCCUAUCUCACCAGACUGGUUGAUAUUUAAAACACAGUUUAAAUUCUUACAUCCCAGGAUUGAACUGGAGACUGAUUGUGCCAUAUCCAGUAACAGAGCCUAUUGCGUCAUAUUUACUGACAAACCCAGGAUGACAAGAGAAACAUGGGACUCACUCUUCGUUUGCAUUGACUCCAACCAAGAGCUUCAGUGUUCAUGCCUUGCUUCAGAAUUAUUGGUGAGCCCUGUGCUAAUUUCCAUCUCAUCCUAGAAGUCAGUUAUUUUAUAAGCAUGUAAUUGCAGGUAAGUAGCUGGGAAGGAAGACCAGUUUGGAAGAGGGAGGCAUAUGCCUGAAAGAAGGGGAUGGGAAUAAAGUCAGUUGCUGUUUUGGCCCAGAGAUAUGUGUAGGCAAACAUGUAGGUAUUGUAUUUACCUUGAUUGUCUUAAUUAUUGGAGAAAGACAACUAUAGUACUUAUUUUCUUACAAGGAAUGUAUGUUGGAGGCUGCCUGCCAAUGAUCUCUAUUGGGCCCUAGAAGGCAUAACUGUAAUUACUUUAGAGCUCAUUUCUUAGAUUAGAGGCCUUGAUCAGGUUGGUUUUAGACCAUUAGGGAACAUUUAUUGAAAUUUCAUAAGUUCAUGAGUUCUUAUCACACCGAUUAUCAACCUAAAAUAAACAUUUUUAUGUUGAAUUAUCUAUUACAUUUUAUGUGGGGCAGAAAUGGUUGACUAUUGGAAACAUCAUGUAGUUCAAUCUAAUAUUAUUCUCAUUUUUAAUAAUGAAAACACACCAACACACUCACUCUAUUCCUAUUACUUCCCUCAACACACCUGCAUCCAAGCUUUCUACUUUGUAGCAUAAAGCAGUGGUUCUCAAACUUCAAGGGGCAGGGCUUAUAACAAAGCAGAUUACUGGCCUUCAACCUCAGAGUUUCUGAUUCUGUACAUCUGGUGUGGGACAGAGAUUUUGAAUUUCAUUUUUUCCCUCUCAGUGACCUGGAUCCUGGAGAGAUGUUGAAUUUCUAAUACAUAUCCAGGUGAUGCUGCUACUGCAGCUAAACCAGGGACCAUACCUUGGAAACCACUGCUAUACAGGGUUGAUGUCCCCAAGGAUGCACCUUUAGAACUUACUUUUUAAUUUUUCCUUUGAAUACCAAAACAACAUUGGAAAUUUAGAUUUCCUUAAAAAAUAUUUUUGCAAACCUCAUGCUGUUAUUUCAACUUAUUCUUUAUUUAUAUUUUGUGCAUAAUGCAUAAAAUGGGAACUGCAUCACCAUAAUUUUUAAAGACCUCAAAAUCUUUCCAUUUUUGUGAAUAUAACGUAAUCCUAGAAAAACUAUUUUACAGUUUAAUUAUUAAAAAAAACUAACAUUUAAUAAUGUGUUGGAAUUGAG